UACGUAGGGACCAAGCGUUGUCCGGAAUUAUUGGGCGUAAAGAGCUCGUAGGUGGCUUGUCGCGUCUGCCGUGAAAGCCCAUGGCUUAACUGUGGGUCUGCGGUGGAUACGGGCAGGCUGGAGGCUGGUAGGGGCAAGCGGAAUUCCUGGUGUAGCGGUGAAAUGCGCAGAUAUCAGGAGGAACACCGGUGGCGAAGGCGGCUUGCUGGGCCAGUUCUGACGCUGAGGAGCGAAAGCGUGGGGAGCGAACAGG
rnacentral:rRNA from 1 species